UCCGAUAUGGUCUAGUGGCUAGGAUUUGCCGCUCUCACCGGCAAGGCCCGGGUAAGUUCAAUCACAACAACUCCUCUAUCACCUCAUUCUAAUCCAACUCAGGUUCGAUUCCCGGUGUCGGAA
rnacentral:tRNA from 1 species